UACGAAGGGGGACUAGCGUUGCUCGGAAUUACUGGGCGUAAAGCGCACGUAGGCGGAUCUUUAAGUCAGGGGUGAAAUCCUGGAGCUCAACUCCAGAACUGCCUUUGAUACUGAGGGUCUUGAGUUCGGGAGAGGUGAGUGGAACUGCGAGUGUAGAGGUGAAAUUCGUAGAGUAUUCGCAAGAACACCAGUGGCGAAGGCG
rnacentral:rRNA from 1 species